rnacentral:rRNA from 1 species
CCUACGGGAGGCAGCAGUGGGGAAUAUUGCGCAAUGGGGGCAACCCUGACGCAGCAACGCCGCGUGAGUGAAGAAGUACUUCGGUAUGUAAAGCUCUAUCAGUAGGGAAGAAAUUAAUGGCUAUUCCUGACUAAGAAGCCGCCGCUAACUACGGGCCAGCCGCCGGGGUAAUACGUGGGGGACACGCGUUAUCCGGUUUUACUGGGUGUAAAGGGAGGUUAGAGGGGGAUGCAAGUCUGAAGUGAAAGGUGGGGGCUCAACCCCUGAACUGCUUUGGAAACUGGGUGGCUGGAGUGCAGGAGAGGGAAGUGGAAGUCCUAGUGGAGCGGUGAAAUGCGUAGAUAUUUGGAGGAACACCAGUGGCGAAGGCGGCUUACUGGACUGUAACUGACGUUGAGGCGCGAAAGCGUGGGGAGCAAACAGGAUUAGAUACCCGAGUAGUC